GUCCGGAAAAAAAAGUUUCAGCUCAUUUCCACCCCCCCGAAACAGCCCGGCCCAUAAGCUCUGUGGGAUGGAGGUGCGACCCCAAGCCCCACCCCGCCAUGACAUAGCGGCCGGGGGAGGGCCCAGAGACGGGGGCCAGGCACGGAGCGGGCCCCGCUGCCCGGCGUGGCAUGGUGCGACCCGUCGCUCGCCCCGGCCGGUCGAUGGGGGUGCGGGCGCUGGCGCUUGUCUGCUGCCUGCUUCGGGCAGGCAGCGCCGCCCUCCUGGUGCCUGCGGGCACCUGGCCGGGGCAGCAGGGCGGCGGUGCUCAGGGCCGCCCGCCGUGGGACAGAGGCGGCCGGGAGGAAGAAGUGGCGGCGGCGGCCCUCCGGGAAAGCGCUAAAAGAAUUAGCUUACUGAAUGCAUCAUCAAAAGAUAAUACGACCGCUUUCUAUGGAAUAAAUCAGUUUUCUCACCUGUUUCCCGAAGAGUUCAAAGAUUCUUCCAGUGCUGAUAGUCAGCUAGUUUACAAUGUCUGGUACCAAACUCUAUUUACUUAAGAAGCAUACCUCACAAACUUCCCAGAUAUGUUAAAGUGCCAAAGGGAAAGGAAAAGCCUUUGCCAAAGAAGUUUGACUGGAGGGACAAGAAAGUCAUUGCAGAAGUGAGAAAUCAGCAAACAUGUGGAGGUUGCUGGGCUUUCAGCGUGGUGGGUGGUAUAGAGUCUGCCUAUGCAAUUAAAGGAAAUAACCUGGAAGAACUCAGCGUACAGCAGGUUAUUGACUGUUCAUACAAUAAUUACGGCUGCAGCGGGGGAUCCACUGUUAGUGCUUUGAGCUGGCUGAACCAGACAAAAGUAAAACUUGUGAGAGAUUCAGAAUACACUUUUAAAGCUCAGACAGGACUGUGCCAUUAUUUUGGUCACUCAGAUUUUGGAGUUUCAAUAGCAGGAUUUGCUGCAUAUGACUUCAGCGGUCAAGAAGAAGAAAUGAUGAGGAUGCUUGUGAACUGGGGCCCUUUGGCAGUAACAGUAGAUGCAGUUAGCUGGCAGGAUUACCUUGGUGGAAUCAUACGAUAUCACUGCUCCAGUGGAAGAGCAAAUCAUGCUGUUCUUAUCACUGGUUUUGACGGAACAGGUAGUACCCCUUACUGGAUUGUACAGAACUCUUGGGGGCCCACAUGGGGAAUAGACGGCUACGUUCGUGUUAAGAUAGGCGGGAAUGUCUGUGGUAUAGCAGAUACAGUUUCUGCGGUAUUUGUUUGACACUUACUGGCCAAAGACCCCAACUAUCAUUUGGACACACACUGUACAUGAAGAUUUAUUUCAAAACAACAUUUCCUAAAAUAAGAAAUUGCUGUAAGGGCAACUCCUGCUUUUAAGCAAUACAGGAAUGGGUUGGCUGGAGUUUUUAAAAAUGUUUUUAUUUGCAAUGUGUGUCGUGUGUCAGAUCUCUCAUGGAAUAAGAAGACUUAGAGUCAACUGCAGAGUAUACAAAGAGAAGUUACAAUGAUGGACUGAAACUGUGAGUGUGAUCUCUAUCCAGGUGUUGAAUACUACUCCAUAAAAAAUCUUACAGGGAAAGAAGUGAUGAUGAAUGAUGAGAAAUUUGAAUCAAAUAGUCAAUAUUAUGACAGGGUAUAAUUGAAAUGCUUUGCAUAUGAGAACUGCCAUGAUCGGGUCUGCUUUUAUUGGGCAGGGAAGAAGUUGGAAGAAAAUAUUCUGUUUGAUAUUCUUUGAUACUUGGUUUUUGUAGCACCUCUGACAGACACAUACAUUUUGUCUUCCUCCUUUUUGUGAAAUCUUACUCUUUCUCUGAAGUUAGAAGAAUACAGGAGGGUAAAAGACACUCAAACUUGUUGCCUGAGCACCCGGUUCUCUGAAGUGCUGUAGUCCUUCAUCUUUGGUCUUCAGACCUUUAUUGGGUAAAACUUCAAAGCUGUUCAGAGCAGGGAAUGUGUUUUGGAAAGUGCCUAGAGUAUCACAGUCUCCUGCAUUCAUUUGUUAGAUGGAUAGAAAAGUAAGAAGUAAGUGUAUUUAGACAAAAAGAGGCAGUUGUAGCAGUUUAAUAUCCUGUGUCCUGGGAGGUUGUAUGUGUUUGCAAAUCAGCCUUUCUGUGCUUCAAGAGCUGUGUCAAUUCCAUGCCUUUUUUCUUCUCUGCAUUAUGACUUACAGCAAAGCCAGUUGCAAAGUACAAAUUAAAAAACUUGCUUCUUGUAGAAAAAAUUCUGAGAGUGGGGUUUGUUAAUACACCUUUAGAAAGUCAGUAAUUACAGGGUACUCCAAAUAGAGUGGGUGUUAAAUUUCCCUCCAUUCAUUAAUUGAAUUCAUAGGUGGGACUUGCUGGAAAUCAGAAAGGGGUGCCAGCUUUGCUGGUCCUAACUAGAUUUCACAACCAAACAUGUAACUAAAAUGCUCUGAAUCUUUCUGGAACCUGUAUAUUUUAUGAAGCACUACGGUGAAAAAUACUGAAGCAAUUCUGUAGUUUUUGCACUCAAUUACUGUACCAUGUUACUAGAUCAGUGUAUUUAUAAGCUUCUUAUGACAAACACAAUGAGCAUUCUUUAUUUUCUGUUGUAAGUAUUGCCAUUUUAGUCAUCUACUUCUAAGUGUUACUAUUUUAACAGUUUACAA